rnacentral:rRNA from 1 species
GAUGAACGCUGGCGGCGUGCCUAAUACAUGCAAGUCGAGCGAAUGGAUUAAGAGCUUGCUCUUAUGAAGUUAGCGGCGGACGGGUGAGUAACACGUGGGUAACCUGCCCAUAAGACUGGGAUAACUCCGGGAAACCGGGGCUAAUACCGGAUAACAUUUUGAACCGCAUGGUUCGAAAUUGAAAGGCGGCUUCGGCUGUCACUUAUGGAUGGACCCGCGUCGCAUUAGCUAGUUGGUGGGGUAACGGCUCACCAAGGCAACGAUGCGUAGCCGCCCUGGAAGGGGGAUCGGCCACACUGGGACUGCGAAACGGGCCAGACUCCUGCGGGAGGCAGCAGUAGGGAAUCUUCCGCAAUGGACGAAAGUCUGACGGAGCAACGCCGCGUGAGUGAUGAAGGCUUUCGGGUCGUAAAACUCUGUUGUUAGGGAAGAACAAGUGCUAGUUGAAUAAGCUGGCACCUUGACGGUACCUAACCAGAAAGCCACGGCUAACUACGUGCCAGCAGCCGCCGUAA